rnacentral:rRNA from 1 species
CACGUAAUUAGCCGGGGCUUAUUCACAUAACUACCGUCAUCAUGUAGGCAUUCCCUCCUACACUUAUCCUUUGUCUGCAAAAGAACUUUACAACCUUCCGGCCUUCAUCAUUCACGCGGUGUCGCUCCGUCAGACUUUCGUCCAUUGCGGAAGAUUCUCAGCUGCUGCCUCCCGUAGGAGUUUGGGCCGUAUCUCAGUCCCAAUGUGUCCGUUCACCCUCUCAGGUCGGAUACCCCAUCAUCGCCUUGGUAAGCCUUUACCUUGCCAACUAGCUAAUGGGACGCAGGCUCAUCUUUAAGCGAGGCAUUCGCCCCUUUCCUUAUCAAAUCAUAAUUCAAUAAGCACAUUCGGUAUUAUCUCUUAUUUCUAAAAGCUAUCCCCAUCUUAAAGGUAGAUCACCCACGCGUUACUCACCAGUCCGCCACUCUAGGAAAGUGCAAGCACCUUCUUGCCGUUCGACUUGCAUGCUUAAAACGCAACCGCCAGCGUUCGUCUGAGCCAGGAAC